rnacentral:rRNA from 1 species
GUAGGGAAUAUUGGGCAAUGGAUGCAAGUCUGACCCAGCCAUCCCGCGUGCCGGAAGAAGGCCCUCAGGGUUGUAAACGGCUUUUGACGGUGAAGAAUCGACAGGAUGCGUCCUGUUUUGACGGUAGCCGUUGAAUAAGCACCGGCUAACUCCGUGCCAGCAGCCGCGGUAAUACGGAGGGUGCGAGCGUUGUCCGGAUUUAUUGGGUUUAAAGGGUGCGUAGGCAGGAAGGUCAGUCAGCGGUGAAAAGCUGUCGCAUAACGAUAGUCUUGCCGCAGAUACUUCCUUUCUUGGAUGAGGAGGAGGCCACUGGAACGGAUGGUGUAGCGGUGAAAUGCAUAGAUAUCAUCCAGAACACCGAUUGCGAAGGCAGGUGGCUGUACCUUAAUCGACGCUGAUGCACGAAAGCAUGGGGAGCAAACAGGAUUAGAAACCCGAGUAGUCC